GCUGACCUCUGAGCGAACCAGACGUGUCAUACUGGGGUCUUCUGUUGUUCUGCAAAUGUGUAUGUGUGUGUGUGUGUGUCAGUGCGGCUUGGUAAUAUAAGCUUAUGCGUAAUCGGCUUUGAGUUGGCAGAGAGUACUUUCUUCAAAGAGAAAUUUCAAACAACUUGGCAGAUCACUAAUAUUUUUUAACUGUCGAUCGACGAAAUCGUGAAAGUGCUGUGCGGUCGAGUUAUCCUCCAGUAGUCGGAGAGCGCAACAUCUGGAUAAGAUGUUAUCGAAGUGAGAUGCCCUCUUGAAGUUCUUCAUAACACGUUUCUUCUUCCAACGGUAUGUUAUUCAUACGGUAAGGUAUCAGUCUAAACGCAUCACGCCGAAAUCUUUAAGUAAAGUUGUUUUGUCCAUAAUAUACCGGCGAUGCAAUAAUACGCCACUUAAAAACAGUCACCGAGACCAUCCAAGUAAUGUUACCAUCCCCUGU